AAGACCUUGCGCUUUUGGAGCGGCCGAUGUCUGAUUAGCUUGUUGGUGAGGUAAAAGCUUACCAAGGCUUCGAUCAGUAGCUGGUCUGAGAGGACGGCCAGCCACACUGGGACUGAGGCACGGCCCAGACUCCUACGGGAGGCAGCAGUGGGGAAUUUUGGACAAUGGGGGCAACCCUGAUCCAGCCAUGCCGCGUGAGUGAAGAAGGCCUUCGGGUUGUAAAGCUCUUUCAGCCGGAACGAAACGGUUACGGUUAAUACCCGUGACUACUGACGGUACCGGAAGAAGAAGCACCGGCUAACUACGUGCCAGCAGCCGCGGUAAUACGUAGGGUGCAAGCGUUAAUCGGAAUUACUGGGCGUAAAGCGUGCGCAGGUGGUUUUGUAAGUCAGAUGUGAAAUCCCCGGGCUUAACCUGGGAACU
rnacentral:rRNA from 1 species